UCAGUUGGAAUAUAAUUAUCAAGUAAUUUAGGCAUAAGUUUCCUGUACUUUUUCGGUAUUGUCUGUUUCAUAAGUUUUAUAUAUAAAUUUCUCAAAGUAAAAUAUGGUUGAUGUAUUUUUGUAUAUCGCCUAACUUACUUUUUUUCUAGGUCCAUAACUUAGUGGCAAUUGAACUGGCUUAUAUCAACACAAAACAUCCAGACUUUGCUGAUGCUUGUGGGCUAAUGAACAAUAAUAUAGAGGAACAGAGGAGAAACAGGCUAGCCAGAGAAUUACCUUCAGCUGUAUCACGAGACAAGUCUUCUAAAGUUCCAAGUGCUUUGGCACCUGCCUCCCAGGAGCCCUCCCCCGCUGCUUCUGCUGAGGCUGAUGGCAAGGUCUGUUCUGAUUCUUAAUCUAAGCCUGCAUGCCUAGUUCUCUGGUACAACAUAAUCUUCUGGAAACAAUACACUGAAUAGAAGAAUAUUAAUAUGGGAUACUGUGCUAAGGUCAGAUCACUUUAGUCUAAUAUAUAUUUUAAAAUUAUAUAACAAUGCAAUGCAUAGUUUAUAUUGUUGACAUGCUUUUGCUUGCAAUAUAGAAGAUGCACACAGAAAAAGUAAUUUA
rnacentral:sRNA from 1 species